UCUCUGGUAGUAUAGUGGUGAGUAUCCGCGCCUGUCACGUGCGAGACCGGGGUUCGAUUCCCCGCCAGAGAG
rfam:Strongyloides stercoralis strain PV0001 genome assembly, scaffold: SSTP_contig0000015